GAGAACUAUGAGACGGUGACCUCGCUGGGAUUUCCCAUUCCCAAACCUGAGCUGAUCGCCCGGCUGGAAGGAGGGGAAGAGCCUUGGGUUCCCGAUCUCCAGGCCUGCAAGGAAAGAAGGCUUCCGAGAUGCACCCGUACAGCAGGUGCUGAGCGAGGGAGUGAGAAUGAGGAGGGGAAUCAUCAUGAGGAAGUUCCCGGGGAAGUGGAACCUCAGGGGCCCUUUGUAGGAAGAGCUGAAGGGAAUUUUUCCCAGUGCUUGGAGCAGGCAGAAGCCUGGGGAAGUUGGCACAGGUCAGAGAGGCUUCUGGGAAACCACCCAGGGAAGAAAGUGGAUGAAUCUAUUAACGGUGGGGGAAGAGAGGAGGAUCCCAGAGCGCAGCAGACAAAUCCCAAGGAAGAGACACCCUGGCACUACCUUCAGUGUGGGAAAGGAUUCAUUGUGAGAUCACACCUUGUUCAACAUCAGGCAAUCCACACAGGAGUGAGACCCUACAAGUGCUUGGACUGUGGGAAAAGUUUCACAGAGAGGUCAA